rnacentral:rRNA from 1 species
GACGUGGGGCGCGAGCGUUGUCCGGAUUUAUUGGGCGUAAAGAGCUCGUAGGCGGCUUGUCGCGUCGACUGUGAAAUCCCGCGGCUCAACUGCGGGUCUGCAGUCGAUACGGGCAGGCUAGAGUUCGGUAGGGGAGACUGGAAUUCCUGGUGUAGCGGUGAAAUGCGCAGAUAUCAGGAGGAACACCGGUGGCGAAGGCGGGUCUCUGGGCCGAUACUGACGCUGAGGAGCGAAAGCGUGGGGAGCGAACAGG